rnacentral:lncRNA from 1 species
UCUCACCUGUACCCCUCUGUUGCGCUCUACCACAGUGUGUGUGAUGCCCUCUCGUCUCACCUGUACCCCUCUGUUGCUCUCUACAGUGUGUUGAGAUGCCUCUCGUCUCACCUGUACCCCUCUGUCGCUCUACAUGUGUGUGAUGCCCCCUCAUCUCACUGACCCCUCUUCGCUCUCACAGUGUGUGUGAGAUCCCCCUCGCUCACCUGUACCCCUCUGUCGCUCUCUACAGGUGUGUGAUGCUCUCCUCUCUCACCUGUACCCCUCUGUCGCACUCACAUGUGUGUGAUGCCCCUCGUCUCACCUGUACCCUCUGCGCCUCUCUACAGUGUGUGUUAUGCUCUCUCGUCUCACCUGUACCCCUCUGUCGCUCUCUACAGUGGUGUGAUGCUCUCUCUCGUCCACCUGUACCCCUCUGUCGCACUCUACGUGUGUGUGAUGCUCUCUCGUCUCACCUGUACCCCUCUGUCGCUCUCUACAGUGUGUGUGAUUCCCCCUCGUCUCACCUGUACCCCUCUGUCGCACUCUACAGUGUGUGUGAUGCUCUCUCGUCUCACCUGUACCCCUCUGUCGCACUCUACAGUGUGUGUGAUGCUCUCCUAGUCUACCUGUACCCCUCUGUCGCUCUCUACAGUGUGUGUGGAUUCCCCCCGUCCACCUGUACCCCUCUGCGCACUCUACAGUGUGGUGUGAUGCUCUCCUCGUCUCACCUGUACCCCUCGGUCCGCUCUCUACAGUGUGUGUGAUGCUCUCUCGUCUCACUGUACCCCUCUGUCGCUCUCUACAGUUU